UAAGUGGAAUUCCACCUGGUGUAAAUG
rnacentral:sRNA from 1 species